UACAGAGGGGGCAAGCGUUGUUCGGAAUUACUGGGCGUAAAGAGCUCGUAGGCGGCUUGUCGCGUCGGCUGUGAAAACCUGGGGCUCAACCCCGGGCCUGCAGCCGAUACGGGCAAGCUAGAAUUCGGUAGGGGAGACGUGGAAUUCCUGGUGUAGCGGUGAAAUGCGCAGAUAUCAGGAGGAACACCGGUGGCGAAGGCGGGUCUCUGGGCCGAUAUUGACGCUGAGGAGCGAAGCGUGGGGAGC
rnacentral:rRNA from 1 species